GGUCCCAAGGGUUGGGCUGUUCGCCCAUUAAAGCGGUACGCGAGCUGGGUUCAGAACGUCGUGAGACAGUUCGGUCCCUAUCCGUCGUGGGCGUAGGAAAUUUGAGAGGAGCUGUCCUUAGUACGAGAGGACCGGGAUGGACAUACCUCUGGUGUACCAGUUGUCGUGCCAACGGCAUAGCUGGGUAGCUAUGUGUGGACGGGAUAAGUGCUGAAAGCAUCUAAGCACGAAGCCCCCCUCAAGAUGAGAUUUCCCAACUUCGGUUAUAAGAUCCCUCAAAGAUGAUGAGGUUAAUAGGUUCGAGGUGGAAGCAUGGUGACAUGUGGAGCUGACGAAUACUAAUCGAUCGAAGACUUAAUCAA
rnacentral:rRNA from 1 species